GGCAGCGUGGCUCAGUGGUCUGAGGGUUGGAUUAGGGCUCCAGGGGCCAGGGUUCGAAUCCCGGCCCGCUCG